rnacentral:lncRNA from 1 species
AAUAUGGAAUUGUUUUGGUAUAUUUGCAGCUUGCUUGGAAUGGUAAUUCAGAAAUUUCGGGGUUUUUUUUUUUACUGGAAAGGAAUUAUAGCCGACGAAAAAAGCUUUAAUUCGUCGGCUAAAGUUUUUUAUUUUUUUUUAAAAUAACUUUUAGCCGACGAAAUAUGCUCUAAUUCGUCGGCUAAAUACAUAUAAAGCCGACGAAAUAUACUAUAUUUCGUCGGCCAUAGAUCUUUUUUAUUUUUUAUUACAAACUUUAGCCGACGAAUAUUUUUAAAAUAUUCGUCGGCUAAAGUUUGGCAGAUAACCGACGACAAAAAGUCGUCGGCUAUAGUCCAGACUUUAGCCGACGAAAUAAUGUCGUCGGCUAAAGUCUGGACUAUAGCUGACGAAACAAUGUCGUCGGCUAAAGUCUGGACUAUAGCCGACGAAACAAUGUCGUCGGCUAAAGUCUGGACUAUAGCCGACGACUUAUACCUGUGUCGUCGGCUAAAGUCACCACAGACGAGCUUUUCCCGACGAAAUCUUAGCCGGCGAAAGGUCGUCGGCUAAGAUCUUAGCCGACGAAUUAAGCUGACAGGGCGACGAAAAAUUUUCGUCGGCUAAAGUGCUUGUCCUGGUAGUGAGAUCUAGUGGUUCUACGAAGCGAGGGCGCCCUCGUCGGAGCAAGAACAAGUCGAAGCCUUGUGAGGAUCCUCAACUAUCGGAAGCUGUUGUAGUGGUGGUGGAUGCGGACCCGAAGGAGGUGGAGGAUGGUGAAAUUAUUCUGGCAGCUGAGAAUUGAGGAGGUCACUAUAGCAUGACCUAAAUGAGAACUUUGGCGAGUAAGGUGGUGGAGGGGUACACCAUAUGGUCUCUAGGCCUCAAGCUUUCGUGCUCGUCGUUCUUGUUUAUGCCAUGUUGUAGUAGUUUUGAGUCUUUGUGUUUUUGUUAGUUUUUUUGUUGUGUCAGAUAUGCUUCGAUUGGAACUUUUUGGAUUUCUUGUUAGUUGCAUUCCUUUCUUGGCGUUUUAGUCGAGUCUGUGCGUAGUGGAUGUAAAUUGGAGGUCCUUGUGAUCGCCAAAACUUGAUCUUGUAAGAUCGUUAUGAUGAUAAUCAAUGGAGUUAUCUGUUACCUUCAAAAAAUAAUAUUUACAGCCUUAAGGACUCAUAUUACCACUUUGAAAACUAAUAUUACUACUUUUUGAGGACCCAACUUACAACUUUAGAAUAAAGUUGAUGCAUGUCAUGCAUUAACACACCAUAACGUAACCCUUUUUAGUGGGUAGCUCAAUAAAUAUUUUAUUAGGAGGUACAGUUAAACCUUUAUAAAUUAAUAACGUUAUGACCGGCAAAAAAUAUUAUUUAAUCGAAGUUAUUAAAUUAUUAGUUACCACUAAACUCUCAACAUUUUGUCCCUCAAUAAAACAUUUAUUACCUUCUACAAAUUAUUUGGGAUGUUCUACAAAUUAUUGAUCACAUGUAAAACGUUUAUUGCCUAU